UAAUGGUAACAUUUGUGUUGUUAUUCGUUAUUUGUAUUCUUUGUUACAGAAAUUGUAAUUUGAUGAACUUUAAUUAUGGUGUCUUGAUAUUUCCAGUGUUUCCCACUCUGGGUAGAUACCCAGGAGUGGGAUUGCUGGAUUAAAUGGUAUAUGGCUGGGACCAUCCCUGACACUCUUUUUCCUUGAAUGUGAACUCAUGAGUGAAGCAUACAUCCCUUGUCCAUGGAACAAGAAAGAUGAGGAUGAAAAGACAACAUAUUAAGGAUGUGAUGUGAAAAGCAGGAAGAACUUCUUAUUCAUGUUAUCACUUAGCAGGUGUUUGGAAGUCAUGGAAGUUUAAAAUAGGAGAUUAAUAUAAAAUUCGUAUUUAAGAAAAUUGCUUUGGAAUCUAUGGGGAGGAAAGAAUGGAAGAGAAAUAGAAAGGUAAAAAUUAAAACUUUUAAGAAGCUAAUGUAAAC